CGAAAGCCUGACGGAGCAACGCCGCGUGAGGGAUGGAGGCCUUUGGGCUGUAAACCUUUUUUCUCAAGGAAGAAGAUCUGACGGUACUUGAGGAAUAAGCCACGGCUAAUUCCGUGCCAGCAGCCGCGGUAAUACGGGAGUGGCAAGCGUUAUCCGGAAUUAUUGGGCGUAAAGCGUCCGCAGGCGGCCGUUUAAGUCUGUUGUUAAAUCGUGGAGCUCAACUCCAUCACGGCAAUGGAAACUGUUCGGCUUGAGUAUGGUAGGGGCAGAGGGAAUUUCCGGUGUAGCGGUGAAAUGCGUAGAUAUCGGGAAGAACACCAGUGGCGAAAGCGCUCUGCUGGGCCAUUGCUGACGCUCAUGGACGAAAGCCAGGGGAGCGAAAGGGAUUAGAUACCCCUGUAGUCCUGGCCGUAAACGAUGAACACUAGAUGUUGGGGGAAUCGACCCCCUCGGUGUCGUAGCUAACGCGUUAAGUGUUCCGCCUGGGGAGUACGCACGCAAGUGUGAAACUCAAAGGAAUUGACGGGGGCCCGCACAAGCGGUGGAGUAUGUGGUUUAAUUCGAUGCAACGCGAAGAACCUUACCAAGGCUUGACAUCCUGCGAAUCUCUAAGAAAUUAGAGAGUGCCUUCGGGAACGCAGUGACAGGUGGUGCAUGGCUGUCGUCAGCUCGUGUCGUGAGAUGUUGGGUUAAGUCCCGCAACGAGCGCAACCCACGUUUUUAGUUGCCAGCAUUCAGUUGGGCACUCUAGAAAGACUGCCGGUGACAAACCGGAGGAAGGUGUGGACGACGUCAAGUCAUCAUGCCCCUUACGCCUUGGGCUACACACGUACUACAAUGCUGCGGACAAAGAGUAGCGAUCUUGCGAAAGUUAGCUAAUCUCACAAACCGUGGCUCAGUUCAGAUCGUAGGCUGCAACUCGCCUACGUGAAGGAGGAAUCGCUAGUAAUCGCAGGUCAGCAUACUGCGGUGAAUACGUUCCCGGGCCUUGUACACACCGCCCGUCACACCAUGGAAGUUGGCCAUGCCCGAAGUCGUUACUCUAACCUUUUGGAAGAGGGCGCCGAAGGCAGGGCUAAUGACUGGGGUGAAGUCGUAACAAGGUAGCCGUAGCGGAAGCUGCGGCUGGAUCACCUCCUAA
rnacentral:rRNA from 1 species